GCUGGAUGGCAGACUGCACCAGUGACCAGAACGGGUGGUUCCCAUAGGCCCAUCACAGAAACAAGAAAUCGAUGAAAAAUUUAAAUCCAGGAAGUCAGAUUAAGGAUUCUGGAAGCCAGAAAGCAGAGGUCUGAGAAUGAAGUCAGUUGUCUAGAGAAGGCUGGCCCCAGCAUCCAGACUCAGUCUGUUAGAUGCUGCCACCCAGGUUCAAGGUGGGUCUCAUCCCUUGGCUGCUUUUGGAAACACCCCCACAGACACCAAGAAAUGUGCUUCACCAAUCUCCUACGUGUCUCUUAAUCCCGUCAAGUUGAUAGUUGGUAUUAACCAGCACAGCUGGGAAAGGCCCAGGGCCCCUUGCCCUUCUAGCACUAAUAGAUUUCCUGUUGCCUUUGGAAGCAAAUGAGGGUUCACUGUAGAGAGAAGGCAGCUGGGAGCAUAUGGAAGAAUAUAAUUAAGAAUUACAUUAGAAUGCCAGUACCUGUAGUCCCUUUCCCCAUCUCAGCCAGACCAUGGCCAGGUCUGGUUCCUGUCAGGAGACUAGAACAUUCUUCUCUAGGGAGACUGCUCAGCCUGAGUGUGGUACUCUACAGAGCCUUUCUCCAGAGGUGUCUACCAAGGUCUCUUCACCCUAUUACAAGAUCUGUAGCAGCCAACUUCACCCCAACACACCUAGAGCUGGCUGGAAGUACCUCAUGAAGAACCAAGAAAGGCAUGACCUCAUGAAUCCAUGACAAACAGCUUUUAUUCAUCAAGAUAUGUGGGCAUGACAUGGAUAGCAAACAUGAAGCUCCAGGACACCCUUCACACCCAAGAUAAAGCCUGGCCCCCCACAAAAUAACCACCUAACAUAACAAUGGCAUUGAAGUUGCCUGCCUACCCCAACACACACACACACACACACACACACACACACACACACAUGCUGUUAUGACUGCCAAGAAAAACAUCUUGAAGCCAACCAUUCAUGAAGGGUGGGAGAUGAAAGCAGAGAACCACGUGCUGCUGGAAGGAAAGCUGGCUUUGUCUUCCCCGUGGAGCACUCUUGCUGGGGUUUGGCAAACCCGUAUGUGGAGUGCUCUAUAUUGGGCUGGUCUGGAGACCUCAAAAGUGUCAAUGAGAGGAGUAAGAAGAUCUCCAGAACAGAAGAGCCAGUAGAGCCAGCCCCAUAAAUGCAAUGGGGACCUCAAGACCAGGAAACAUGCCCUGGUGAAUCUAUUGGAUGGCUCAGCAAAGCCAAUGUGUGGUGCAGAGAAGAUACUGGCAAACAGCCACUGACCAAUCCAGUAAAGGGCUCAGGACUAUUGGCUGUAUAUGCUUCAGAGGACAUUAGAGAAUGCUGAAUGUGAGCUAUGUGAGAUCAUUAAAAUUAAACUCCUUGG